AGAGUUUGAUCCUGGCUCAGAUUGAACGCUGGCGGUAUGCUUAACACAUGCAAGUCGAACGGAAACGAUGGUAGCUUGCUACCAGGCGUCGAGUGGCGGACGGGUGAGUAACGCGUAGGAAUCUGCCUGAUAGUGGGGGAUAGCCCAGAGAAAUCUGGAUUAAUACCGCAUAAUCUCUAUGGAGUAAAGGAGCCCUCUUCUUGAAAGGUUUCGCUAUCAGAUGAGCCUGCGUAAGAUUAGCUUGUUGGUGAGGUAAAAGCUCACCAAGGCGACGAUCUUUAGCUGGUCUGAGAGGAUGAUCAGCCACACUGGAACUGAGACACGGUCCAGACUCCUACGGGAGGCAGCAGUGGGGAAUAUUGGACAAUGGGCGCAAGCCUGAUCCAGCAAUACCGCGUGUGUGAAGAAGGCCUGAGGGUUGUAAAGCACUUUCAAUUGA
rnacentral:rRNA from 1 species